CCGACGCCUCCAUCUUUAGUCUUCACCAUCUCCUCGUCGUCGACCAGCACCGCCACCGCCGUCGACCUAGCCACCGCCGUCGACCCAGCCGCCGCCGAACACCAGCUCCGCCUACGCCGCCGUCGAUCUAUCCACUGUCGCUGCCAUCCGACACCACAGGCGACCCAGCCACGCUCGCUGCCAUCCGCCUACACCGUUCCCCGUUGACCCAGCCGCUCUACAACAGAUCUGAAGCCACAAGCGACGCCGCCGCCUUCCUUCGCCAAAGCUGCCAUCCGACGCCACCACCUCCCUUCCUCCGCUGGUACUCCCCCACUCGCGAGCGCCAAACGCCACCGCCACCGCCACCACCGCGGAACUGCCUCACUAGCUGGAGCUACCGUCCUUCACCAGCUGCCACGAAUGAAUUCAUUGUUGCUGGUGGAAAAGGUGAACCUGCUGAAGUAAUGUCCAAAUAUGGUUUCCAGUAAGAGUUUGGAUUUCAUCCCAUCUGUUUGUAAAUUCCAGUUUCCCUACUCUCUGAGAAAGUGCAAGCAGUCUUUGUUGGUAGUGAUUCAAUUGAUUGGAGCAGUGACAUUCAGAGUAUUAUAUUUUUGCUUAGACUUUAGUUGGCUAGUAUUACUUACUAAAUGUAAAUGUAGAGAUUGAUAAUGUAAUUUUGGAAUUGUAAUUUCUUAGUGUUUGUAUUGAUUAUUGAGAGUUACAGUUUGUAAAAA